AAGUUAAUAAGGGCGCACGGUGGAUGCCUUGGCACUAAGAGCCGAUGAAGGACGUGACUAACGACGAUAUUCUAGGGAGCAGUAAGUACGCAUUGAUCCCUAGGUCUCCGAAUGGGGAAACCCAGCUGCACUAGCAGUUAUUCAUGAGUGAAUACAUAGCUCAUGUAAAGGUAACGCAGAGAACUGAAACAUCUAAGUACCUGCAGGAAGAGAAAGUAAAAACGAUUUCGUAAGUAGCGGCGAGCGAACGCGAAGAAGGGCAAACCAAGAAGCUUGCUUCUUGGGGUUGUAGGACUGCAACGUGGACUUAAGCAUUAUAGUCGAAUAACCUGGGAAGGUUAAUCAAAGAGGGUAAUAAUCCCGUAGACGAAAUAGCGCUUAUACCUAGCAGUAUCCUGAGUAGGGCUGGACACGCGAAAUCCAGUUUGAAUCCGGGAGGACCAUCUCCCAACCCUAAAUACUCCUUAGUGACCGAUAGUGAACCAGUACCGUGAGGGAAAGGUGAAAAGAACCCCGAGAGGGGAGUGAAAUAGCACCUGAAACCGUGUGCCUACAAGAAGUUCGAGCCCGUUAAUGGGUGAGAGCGUGCCUUUUGUAGAAUGAACCGGCGAGUUACGUUAUGAUGCGAGGUUAAGUUGAAGAGACGGAGCCGUAGGGAAACCGAGUCUGAAUAGGGCGACUUAGUAUCAUGAUGUAGACCCGAAACCUAGUGACCUAUCCAUGAGCAGGGUGAAGGUGUGGUAAGACGCACUGGAGGCCCGAACCAGGACACGUUGAAAAGUGUUUGGAUGACUUGUGGAUAGCGGAGAAAUUCCAAACGAACUGGGAGAUAGCUGGUUCUCUCCGAAAUAGCUUUAGGGCUAGCGUCGAAAUGUAAGUGUAUUGGAGGUAGAGCACUGUUUGGGUGAGGGGUCCGUCUAGGAUUACCAAUCUCAGAUAAACUCCGAAUGCUAAUACACAUGUUCGGCAGUCGACUGCGAGUGCUAAGAUCCGUAGUCGAAAGGGAAACAGCCCAGACCAACAGCUAAGGUCCCAAAAUAUAUGUUAAGUGGAAAAGGAUGUGGGGUUGCACAGACAACUAGGAUGUUAGCUCAGAAGCAGCUAUCAUUCAAAGAGUGCGUAAUAGCUCACUAGUCGAGUGACCCUGCGCCGAAAAUGUACCGGGGCUAAACAUAUUACCGAAGCUUUGGAUUGAUAUUUUAUCAAUGGUAGGAGAGCGUUCUUAACCGCGAUGAAGGUAUCCGUGAGGAGUGCUGGAGCGUUAAGAAGUGAGAAUGCCGGUAUGAGUAGCGCAAGAUAAGUGAGAAUCUUAUCCACCGUAAACUAAGGUUUCCAGGGGAAGGCUCGUCCGCCCUGGGUUAGUCGGACCUAAGGCGAGGCCGAAAGGCGUAGUCGAUGGACAACUGGUUGAUAUUCCAGUACUAGAUAUGAUCGUGAUGGAGGGACGCAGUAGGCUAAGAGAUGCCAGUUAAUGGAUUCUGGUCUAAGCAGUGAGGUGUGAGAUGUGUCAAAUGCAUUUCUCUCUAACAUUGAGCUGUGAUGGGGAAGCAACUACGGUUGCGAACUCUCUGAUGUCACACUGCCAAGAAAAGCUUCUAGCGUAAAGUCAUAUCUACCCGUACCGCAAACCGACACAGGUAGUCGAGGCGAGUAGCCUCAGGUGAUCGAGAGAACUCUCGUUAAGGAACUCGGCAAAAUAGCCCCGUAACUUCGGGAGAAGGGGUGCUGGUGUAAAAGCCAGCCGCAGUGAAUAGGCCCAAGCAACUGUUUAUCAAAAACACAGCUCUCUGCUAAACCGCAAGGUGAUGUAUAGGGGGUGACGCCUGCCCGGUGCUGGAAGGUUAAGAGGAGUGCUUAGACGUAAGUCGAAGGUAUGAAUUGAAGCCCCAGUAAACGGCGGCCGUAACUAUAACGGUCCUAAGGUAGCGAAAUUCCUUGUCGGGUAAGUUCCGACCCGCACGAAAGGCGUAAUGAUUUGGGCACUGUCUCAACGAGAGACUCGGUGAAAUUUUAGUACCUGUGAAGAUGCAGGUUACCCGCGACAGGACGGAAAGACCCCAUGGAGCUUUACUGUAGUUUGAUAUUGAGUACCUGUAAGUCAUGUACAGGAUAGGUAGGAGCCAUUGAAAUAGGGACGCUAGUUUCUAUUGAGGCGUUGUUGGGAUACUACCCUUGACUUAUGGUUACUCUAACCCGCUGGCAUAAUCGGCCAGGGAGACAGUGUCUGACGGACAGUUUGACUGGGGCGGUCGCCUCCUAAAGAGUAACGGAGGCGCUCAAAGGUUGGCUCAGAUUGGUUGGAAAUCAAUCGUAGAGUGUAAAGUAAAAGCCAGCUUGACUGCGAGAGCUACAACUCGAGCAGGUAGGAAACUAGGACUUAGUGAUCCGGUGGUACCGCAUGGAAGGGCCAUCGCUCAACGGAUAAAAGCUACCCUGGGGAUAACAGGCUUAUCUCCCCCAAGAGUUCACAUCGACGGGGAGGUUUGGCACCUCGAUGUCGGCUCGUCGCAUCCUGGGCUGUACG
rnacentral:rRNA from 1 species